rnacentral:rRNA from 1 species
CUUGCACCUGAUGGCGAGUGGCGAACGGGUGAGUAAUGCAUCGGAACGUGCCCAGUCGUGGGGGAUAACGCAGCGAAAGUUGUGCUAAUACCGCAUACGAUCUAUGGAUGAAAGCGGGGGACCUUCGGGCCUCGCGCGAUUGGAGCGGCCGAUGUUAGAUUAGGUAGUUGGUGGGGUAAAGGCUCACCAAGCCAACGAUCUAUAGCUGGUCUGAGAGGACGACCAGCCACACUGGAACUGAGACACGGUCCAGACUCCUACGGGAGGCAGCAGUGGGGAAUUUUGGACAAUGGGCGAAAGCCUGAUCCAGCAAUACCGCGUGCAGGAAGAAGGCCCUCGGGUUGUAAACUGCUUUUGUACGGAACGAAACGGCGCGCUCUAAUAAAGUGCGCUAAUGACGGUACCGUAAGAAUAAGCACCGGCUAACUACGUGCCAGCAGCCGCGGUAAUACGUAGGGUGCAAGCGUUAAUCGGAAUUACUGGGCGUAAAGCGUGCGCAGGCGGUUUUGUAAGACAGGCGUGAAAUCCCCGGGCUCAACCUGGGAAUUGCGCUUGUGACUGC